rnacentral:rRNA from 1 species
UGGGGAAUUUUGGACAAUGGGCGCAAGCCUGAUCCAGCCAUUCCGCGUGAGUGAAGAAGGCCUUCGGGUUGUAAAGCUCUUUCGCAAGGGAAGAAAACUUAUCCUCUAACAUAGGAUGAGGUUGACGGUACCUUGAUAAGAAGCACCGGCUAACUACGUGCCAGCAGCCGCGGUAAUACGUAGGGUGCGAGCGUUAAUCGGAAUUACUGGGCGUAAAGCGUGCGCAGGCUGUUUUGUAAGUCAGAUGUGAAAUCCCUGAGCUCAACUUAGGAACUGCGUUUGAAACUACAAGACUAGAAUAUGUCAGAGGGGGGUAGAAUUCCACGUGUAGCAGUGAAAUGCGUAGAGAUGUGGAGGAAUACCAAUGGCGAAGGCAGCCCCCUGGGAUAAUAUUGACGCUCAUGCACGAAAGCGUGGGGAGCAAACAGG